UCUCCGUUGGUGAACCAGCGGAGGGAUCAUUGCUGGAACAAACGCCCUCACGGGUGCUACCCAGAAACCCUUUGUGAACUUUCUAUAACACUGUUGCCUCGGCAUGGACUGGCCCUUCUAUGAGGGUCCCUCUUUUCGGAGAGGAGCAGGUCGGCCGGUGGCCCUAUAAACUCUUUGUUUUUACACUGUAUCUUCUGAGUAAACAACUAUAAAUGAAUCAAAACUUUUAACAACGGAUCUCUUGGUUCUGGCAUCGAUGAAGAACGCAGC
rnacentral:misc_RNA from 1 species